GUGGGGAAUCUUAGACAAUGGGCGCAAGCCUGAUCUAGCCAUGCCGCGUGAUCGAUGAAGGCCUUAGGGUUGUAAAGAUCUUUCAGUGGGGAAGAUAAUGACUGUACCCCAAGAAGAAGCCCCGGCUAACUCCGUGCCAGCAGCCGCGGUAAUACGGAGGGGGCUAGCGUUGUUCGGAAUUACUGGGCGUAAAGCGCACGUAGGCGGACUGGAAAGUCAGGGGUGAAAUCCCGGGGCUCAACCCCGGAACUGCCUUUGAAACUCCCAGUCUUGAGUUCGAGAGAGGUGAGUGGAAUUCCGAGUGUAGAGGUGAAAUUCGUAGAUAUUCGGAGGAACACCAGUGGCGAAGGCGGCUCACUGGCUCGAUACUGACGCUGAGGUGCGAAAGCGUGGGGAGCAAACAGGAUUAGAAACCCGUGUAGUCC
rnacentral:rRNA from 1 species